rnacentral:lncRNA from 1 species
UCAAGUUUUGUUGCAUCUCAUCCUGAUGGAAGAGGAAGAUCAAAAGUUUUCAGUCACAGUGUCACCCCAAAAGGCACUAUGAAGGAAGUCCGAUAUCAAAGAAGAUUCUUCGAAAGGGAUAACGAGGACUUGCCUAACCCUAUGAGCUCAAAAAAAUUAAAAAAAACAAAGAAGAAAAAGAAAAAUCAAAAUCAAGGUCAAAUUGAAAAUGAGAGAAAAAGAAAGAAGAACGAAAAAGAGAAAAAUCUAGAUGAAAAAAAUCAAAAUAAAAAAAUGAGGAAAAGAAAAGAAAAGGAGAGGCCAAGGCGAAAACCCGCAAAGGGCACUUUGUGACCAAAGGUGGUUUUGAGUUGAAAACCUGAAAAGGGC